GCUGGGAAUGGUGGUGCAUGCCUGUAAUCCCAGAUACUGGGGAGGCUGAGGCAGGAGAAUCACUGGAACCCAGGAGGCAGAGGUUGCAGUGAGCUGAGAUCGUGCCACUGCACUUCAGCCUGGUGCAUGCCUGUAAUCCCCAGUAGCUGAGGCAGGAGAAUCCCUGGAACCCAGGAGGCAGAGGUUGCAGUGAGCUGAGAUCGCACCACUGCACUCCAGCCUGGGUGACAGAGCAAGACUCUGCCUCA
rnacentral:sRNA from 1 species